AAGUAGAGAGGAGACAUUGCUGGAACUGGCAGCAGAGGAGGGGUCAGAGUCCUAUAUAGAUCACAUGAUCACAUCAGUGAUGAUGAAGGAGGACCCAAGUCACAAGACUGAGAGGAUAUUAGACCUCACCCUGGAGAUCAUCUACCUGCUGACCGGAGAGGUGAGGAGGAUUCUGGGAGGUCACAUGACAUCACUCUUAUCUCCUAUUAAUAAAACAGACCUGACCUAAGAGAUGAGGAGGAUUCUGGGAGAUCACAUGACAUCACUCUUAUCUCCUAUUAAUAAAACAGAUCUGACCGAAGAGGUGAGGAGGAUUAUGGGAGGUCACAUGACAUCACUGUUAUCUCUGUUAAUAAAGCACAGAUCUGACCGGAGAGGUGAGGAGGAUUCUGGGAGAUGACAUGACAUCACUC